rnacentral:rRNA from 1 species
AACGAACGCUGGCGGCAUGCCUAACACAUGCAAGUCGAACGAGAUCUUCGUGUCUAGUGGCGCACGGGUGCGUAACGUGUGGGAAUCUGCCCUUUGGUUCGGAAUAACAGUUGGAAACGACUGCUAAUACCGGAUGAUGACGAAAGUCCAAAGAUUUAUCGCCAGAGGAUGAGCCCGCGUAGGAUUAGCUAGUUGGUGUGGUAAAGGCGCACCAAGGCGACGAUCCUUAGCUGGUCUGAGAGGAUGAUCAGCCACACUGGGACUGAGACACGGCCCAGACUCCUACGGGAGGCAGCAGUGGGGAAUAUUGGACAAUGGGCGAAAGCCUGAUCCAGCAAUGCCGCGUGAGUGAUGAAGGCCUUAGGGUUGUAAAGCUCUUUUCCCCGGGAUGAUAAUGACAGUACCGGGAGAAUAAGCUCCGGCUAACUCCGUGCCAGCCGCCGCCGUAA